rnacentral:rRNA from 1 species
CCUUGUACACACCGCCCGUCACGCUAUGGGAGUCGGUAACACCUGAAGUCGCUGGGCUAACCCGCAAGGGGGGCAGGCGCCGAGGGUGGGACCGGUGACUGGAGCG